CUCGUAGGCUGUUCGGUAAGUCAGGUGUGAAAACCCAAGGCUCAACCUUGGGACGCCACUUGAUACUGCUGUGACUAGAGUCCGGUAGAGGAGAUUGGAAUUCCUGGUGUAGCGGUGAAAUGCGCAGAUAUCAGGAGGAACACCAACGGCGAAGGCAGAUCUCUGGGCCGGUACUGACGCUGAGGAGCGAAAGCGUGGGGAGCGAACAGGAUUAGAUACCCUGGUAGUCC
rnacentral:rRNA from 1 species